rnacentral:piRNA from 1 species
UCUGGGGCCUAAUGAGAAUGAAACACAGGG